CGCGCGUCACUUCCGGGGGCGGGGCCGCGACCUCGAGGGGGCGCUGCGGCGCCUAGCUGCGCCCGAACCCGGUUUUGGAGGGGGCGAGGGCGCUUCCUGGAGCUGUCUGCUUGCCGCUCUCCGCCGCGCUCGGACCGGUUGCUUCUAGUGCCCUGAGGCGCCCGGCCGGAACCCGCAGCGCCAAAGCUGCCACCUGUGUCGGGACCUCGGACUCCCCAGGGUGUCCCCGGUCCUGGGCCCCUCCGCGCGGGCCGAGGGCAGAGGCGGCGCUCCCGGAGCAGCCUGCGGGGGUGGGGGUGGGGGACCGCUUCUGGCGUCCCCGCUCCGCCGCUCGCCUUCCUUACCCCUCGCGGAGUGGACCGAGAAGCUGGCGCCGCCACAGCUUUCUCAUCGAAGUGCCACCUCCCGGGACGCGACCAACACUUGAUAAACAGUCAAUCAGCACCCUGGCUCUCCAGCCCGAGGCCGCUCGCCGCUGGAAACGCUGGCGUGGCGGGGAAAGUUUGCUGUGGCCUUGGAGGCAGAGACCCGGGCUCCCUUUGUGGCUCUACCCCUCAGCGACCUUAAGCAACUUUAUAACCUCUCCGAAACAGUUUCGUCAUCUAUAAAGUGGAGCUGGAGAACCCAGGCUCUCGGAGUCGUCGCAAUGAUGAAAGGAGAUAAGGAAUUUUCAAUCUUGGACUGGCAACACUGACACCCUCAGAGAGCAUCAUUGCUACCCAUGACUUCCAUCGUUUUCAGAGUUCUUUGAUCCUACAUACCUGGCCAAAGAAUUCGGCUAAGGAUCCAGAGGUGAUAUGAGAGGCAAAGUCAGGCUGACAAAUAAAGAGAUAAAUGCAGCUCCAAACGGGCUUGAGUGUUGCCAUGAGGGAAGGCGAGUGAGGGAUUAGAGAGAGGAUGAAAUAACCACCUCCCACUGCAUGAAGGAACAUUUCCUGGAAAAGGUGGAGUUUGAAAGACUUGGUGGUAAUUAAAAAACGUGCAAUGCCACCUUUUUUCUUCCAUACUUUAUAUAUCCAGUAGCAAAACAAAAUUAGUUCCGCUGUGCUUAGAGAACUUAGCUUGAGAGUUGUGUACCCAAUUCAGGAGUGUGACGCUUCUACUUCCCACAGUCCCUGCUUCUGACUCUCAAGGGAAGAAAAUUUGAGUUCUGUCUAGACUCACUCUGUAAAGUGGGAAAGUUGUUGGUAGGCUUUUUCCUUCCUUCUUUCUCUCAGCUCCUCCUUGCUUCUCAGAAGAUGCAGCGCCCUGCAUGCAUCUGAUCAGAUAUACCUAUGAGUCAGAUUCCAAAGGGAGACCACUAACGCAGACUGAGAAUGGGGGUCCUCGUGAUGGAAAAGAAUCCAAAGACAGGGUUUCAUGGAGCAAAGAGUUCUGCUUAGAUUUCGUUUGUAAUUGGAUCCCCACUGUGUAUACACUUCAUCUCUGCUUCCUCCCCACCCCUUCCCAGCCCUUUCUCUUGUUCUCUAAGCCUUAAUUUUCUUCCUGUGCCUACUUUUUCCUUUCCCUUUUUAUAUCUAUGCCUUAACCUUACCAAUGGCCCCCUGAGAAUUUAUUAACUAUGAUGGCGGUCCUUGGGCCUGAGAUUUCAUAUCAAAAAAAUAUUUUUAGAGCAUUAAGCCAUGUACUGAGCACUGUGCUGGAUACUUCAGGAGAUUCAAAGAUGACUCAGACCACGUCUCUUCUCUUCACAAGUUUCCAGUAGAUGAGGCAGUGAAGCCACCAUAGCAUAGGACGGGGUAUUCAGUAGAGAUAAAAAUGACAUGUAUUGAGAGUAGGGAGGAGGAGGAUUAGGACGAUCUUCAUGUUCCUGCAAGAGACCAUACCUGGGCACUCCAGCUGUCUAGGACUCAGAGAAAGUUGCGAGGGCGUGUGUAGGGAAAACAUUCAGCCAGGAAUGCCUUCUCCUUUCCUCUCUCCCAGCAGACUGUCUCCUACUUUAGGUCCCAGCUCAGAUGUCACCUACUCCAGGAAGUCCUUCAACCCUCUAGACUGGGUUUGGGACCUCCAGUGUCUCCCAUCAUGUCCAGGACUGACCCUUCUUGCAGCACUGUCUACAUGAACUUGAAAUUUCUUGCUUGUUUCUUCAAGCCUUUGGACUGAGUUCUGGAGAGGAGGGUCCAGGUCUUGUCUUCCUUUGCAGCCCAGCUCCCAGAACAAUCCCUGCGCCAGGAGUGGCUCAGUAAAGCCUUGUUGAAUGAGGAGAUCGUCUAGGCGAAGGCAAGACAAGGUAGCUCAACUUCAUCUGGGACGUUUCCUGCCCCAGACAUGGACUCAGCCAUUUCUCAAGAAUCCCUCAUGCAUGGCAGUGACCACGAUCUGAGUGCAAGCCUGGCGUGAAGAGUUAAGGAAAUGGGAGAGUGUGAGAACCAGCGUAAAGGGCAUGAACCAAGGCCCAGUGGUGUCAAAAUUCUCGCCACGCACAAGCCAGGUGCAGUCCCUGUUCUCUUGCUGUGGUCGAUGAGGGCUUGCUCCAUCUCCUCAAGCCACACGGGGGGCCCUUUGAGAAGGAAAAUGUCCCCACCCUCCCACAUUUCAGACUCUUUUCGAGCCUCCUCCUCCACUCCCAAAGGAGCACCCCAAUCCAGGGUGCAGACUGCCUCGCCCAGUGGACACAAAGAUUGCUGGUCUAUGGCUCCCUCUGCUGGUGGCACUGGGAACUGAAGCUGCCAAAAGCCAAAGGUCC